CCGCCCCUCCGGUUCCCAUUUCAGGUCAUCUUGUCAUCAAUGUAACUCAGGCUAGCCAUCCUUUAACCCUUCAGCUUGACGCCUGUUCAGUCAUCCCAUGCGGAGAUGAGCAAGCUCAAGGAAGCUAUCCCAUUUUGUCUGUGAGGAUGUGGCACGUGAGCUCAGAAAGCCACAGUACAACCCAAGCAAUGGCUACCCAGGAAGAGACACAGUGGGAGGAUCUGCUGCACAGAUCAGCAACCAUCUGGAUCGAGUCACUGGAUGCUGGCAUCUGAUGCAAGGAGGAAGCUGCAGAGACAUCUGGGACACCCUGUCAUAAACCUAGUUUCUGACCCAGACUUGCAACACUGGACUCAUUUCACUGGGGAAAAGGAAGGUCUUGAUUUAUUUUCAAUUAUGUUUAUCCCUAUCAGGAAAAGCCUCAGAUACCCUUUUGCUUCUUUGGAGAAGCCCACAAUUAUGAGCCAUAAAAGGCAAGUUAUUUGUAAUAAAACAAGACAGCACCACAUAUACCAGGGUUAUUUGCCAUUGCUGGAUGUGGUUCAGAUAAGGUCUAGCCAAAUGUCCGGCUUAGUCUAGAUACAGCCUGAAAGAAAACAUUAUUUUAUUUGAACUUGACUAUCAUUUUGCCCUUGAAAUUAAAGAAACUCAAAUUCUAUGGUCAGGAAAUUGAUUUUAACAAGACAAAAUCUGUGUCCUUUAAAAAAAAUGGAAAAGAACUCACAAAAGCCUAUUCAUGAUUACUUGCACUAGCAUCCUUUUUUUUUCUUAAUGAAAUUGAUGCCUCUUCUAGUAAGCCUUGGUUCCAAGGAUGUUCUUCAACUUUCCUUUUCUUCUCAGAGCUCUUUGUUCUUACAGCAUGCCCAUUGCCAUUACUUCUCCCCAUUCUAUAGCGAUUCAUGCUGAUUAACAGCAAAUAUAUCAACAGAUUCAGACUUGAACAUCUUGUAUCCACUCCUUAAGAAAUUCAUUUGUUCUCUUAGUUUUUUGGUAUUAUACCAGAUCUAUAUUUCCAGAACCAUGAUUAUUUUAUCUCCAGUUUUAUGGUUAUCACUGAUCCUUGUCAGUUAUCACUGACAUCACAUUCUCAUGCAUACCUAAAAAUUCAGUUAAAUGGGCUGAACUCAAUGGGGUGCAGUCAGAAAACAGUUUUAUUUUUCUGCACUACCAUUUUUGAUUGCUCUCUGUAGAGGCACUUCAGACAAAGGAAGCAAUACAGAGCAGUGGUGAAAAGUCCAGAUUCAGGAGAAGUAAAUCAGUCUCAAUCUCAGCUCUGACAACACACACACACACACACACAUACACAUACACACACACAGGGAUAGUUUACUCUUAAAUAACAUGAAGGUUAACAGUGCUGACCCCUCACACAAAUAAAAUUCCACAUAGAAGUUUGACUCCUCGGAAAUUUAACUACUAAUAGCCUACAGUUGACGGGAAGUCUUAUCAAUAACAUUAACAGUCAAUUGACACAUAUUUUGUAUAUGUAUUAAAUACUAUAUUCUUAACAAUAGAGAACAUAUUUUUAAGAAAAGCAUAAGAAAGAGAAAAUAGAUUUACUAUCCAUUAAAUGCAAGUGGAUCAUCAUAAAGGCCUUCAUCCUUGUCAUCUUCACAUUGAGUAGGCUGAGGAGGAGGAAGAGGAGGGGUUGGUCUUGCUGUUUUAGGGGUAGCAGAGGUGGAGGAAAAUCUGCAUAUAAGUGAAUCUGUGUAGUUCAAAUCCAUGUUGUUCAAGGGUCAACUAUAUACAUAUAUAAUUGGUUAAUACAUAUGAAUAGAAUAAUAUAUAUACACA
rnacentral:lncRNA from 10 species